rnacentral:rRNA from 1 species
UAACACAUGCAAGUCGAACGGAAACGAAACUAGCUUGCUAGUAGGCGUCGAGUGGCGGACGGGUGAGUAACGCGUAGGAAUCUGCCUGAUAGUGGGGGAUAGCCCGAAGAAAUUCGGAUUAAUACCGCAUAAUCUAUUCGUAGUAAAGUGGGGGACUUUCGAGCCUCACGCUAUCAGAUGAGCCUGCGUAAGAUUAGCUUGUUGGUAGGGUAAAAGCCUACCAAGGCAACGAUCUUUAGCUGGUCUGAGAGGAUGAUCAGCCACAUCGGGACUGAGACACGGCCCGAACUCCUACGGGAGGCAGCAGUGGGGAAUAUUGGACAAUGGGGGCAACCCUGAUCCAGCAAUACCGCGUGUGUGAAGAAGGCCUGAGGGUUGUAAAGCACUUUCAAUUGUGAAGAAAAGUUAACGGUUAAUAACCGUUGACCUUGACGUUAACUUUAGAAGAAGCACCGGCUAACUCCGUGCCAGCAGCCGCGGUAAUACGGAGGGUGCAAGCGUUAAUCGGAAUUACUGGGCGUAAAGCGUGCGUAGGCGGUUUAUUAAGUCAGAUGUGAAAGCCCCGGGCUUAACCUGGGAACUGCAUUUGAAACUGGUCAACUAGAGUAUGGUAGAGGAAAGUGGAAUUUCUGGUGUAGCGGUGAAAUGCGUAGAUAUCAGAAGGAACAUCAAUGGCGAAGGCAGCUUUCUGGACCAAUACUGACGCUGAGGUACGAAAGCGUGGGUAGCAAACAGGAUUAGAUACCCUGGUAGUCCACGCCGUAAACGAUGAUAACUAGCCGUUGGGGGGAUUUACCCCUUAGUGGCGAAGCUAACGCGUUAAGUUAUCCGCCUGGGGAGUACGGCCGCAAGGCUAAAACUCAAAGGAAUUGACGGGGACCCGCACAAGCGGUGGAGCAUGUGGUUUAAUUCGAUGCAACGCGAAGAACCUUACCUGGUCUUGACAUCCUGCGAACUUUCUAGAAAUAGAUUGGUGCCUUCGGGAACGCAGUGACAGGUGCUGCAUGGCUGUCGUCAGCUCGUGUCGUGAGAUGUUGGGUUAAGUCCCGUAACGAGCGCAACCCCUAUCCUUAUUUGCCAGCACAUUAUGGUGGGAACUAUAAGGAGACUGCCGGUGAUAAACCGGAGGAAGGCGGGGACAACGUCAAGUCAUCAUGGCCCUUACGACCAGGGCUACACACGUGCUACAAUGGGAAGGACAAAGAGCCGCGAAGCCGCGAGGUGUAGCUAAUCUCAUAAAUCUUUUCGUAGUCCGGAUUGGAGUCUGCAACUCGACUCCAUGAAGUCGGAAUCGCUAGUAAUCGUAGAUCAGAAUGCUACGGUGAAUACGUUCCCGGGUCUUGUACACACCGCCCGUCAUACCAUGGGAGUGGGUUGCACCAGAAGUGACUAGUCUAACUUUGUGAGGACGGUCACCACGGUGUGAUUCAUGACUGGGGUA